UACAGAGGUGGCAAGCGUUGUUCGGAAUUACUGGGCGUAAAGGGCGCGUAGGCGGCCUUCUAAGUCAGACGUGAAAUCCCCCGGCUUAACCUGGGAACUGCGUCUGAUACUGGGAGGCUUGAGUAUGGGAGAGGGAUGUAGAAUUCCAGGUGUAGCGGUGAAUGCGUAGAUAUCUGGAGGAAUACCGGUGGCGAAGGCGGCAUCCUGGACCAUAACUGACGCUGAGGCGCGAAGCUAGGAGCAACGG
rnacentral:rRNA from 1 species